CUGUUCUGCCCUGCGUGGUGUUACAGUGAACCCGUAUAGACGAAAAUUGCAUUUACCAUUUAUUGCUUGACUAAUAAUAAAAACAUAGAAGAUUCUCGGUAACUCCGUGUCACCUUCUGUCCUGAUGCCAGAUUCGAUUGACGCAACGCUAACAAUUGGUGAAAAAUUGUCUGGCCGAUUGGCCAUUGCUUGUCGUCGGAUGGUGUGCCUCACAAAUCCUGACCGGUCAACUAAAAAACUUUGGAAUACAGACAACACGUGUGAAGUAUACGAUGAUGAAUGCAAUUUUGAAACUGAUCAGAUAAUUUGUGAUAUGACGGUAAAUGUAAUGUACUAAAUACUGGUUAUCAAGUUUGUUUGAAGUUAAUAAGUCAGGGACUAUUAACAUAGAUUAGAGUGACGAUUUUAAAUUGGAAUUUACCCUAAAUUCACCUUACAAUUUAACCCUAAUUUUGUUUAAAUUAAAUAAAAUAGAACGCAGUAGAAAUGACUAGUCAGAAGGCUGAGAAGGUGUUGAAAACAUUGAAAUCAACACUAGAAACUAACGAAGGUAAAGACAGAAAGGAAUGGAGGAAGAGAGGAAAGAAGUGGUAUAGGGAGUGGAUAGAGGAAGGUAGUAUUACUGCACCCAACAGACUCCCAGUCGACGGGGAGCCCGGUAGAAUAUUAGAAAUGCUGGAACGAAAAAUGGAAAAGACCUGUUCCGAGAAAAUUGUUUGUGUCAUUUAGAGGGAACAUAGCUUUGAGUCACUUUUCAAAAGCUGCUUAAAGUUCCUAAUACAUUUUUAAAAUUGUAUCGUAAAAGUUUUGUAAUAGUUCCCGGUUAUUGAUUUUGGUUUGAU
ensembl:lncRNA